AUUGAACGCUGGCGGCAGGCCUAACACAUGCAAGUCGAGCGGCGGAAGAGAACGUGCUUCCUCUUACGGCGGCGGAGGGGUGGGUAGUGCCUAGGAAUCUGCCUAGCUAUGUGUUAGAGCGGCCGAAAGCAGGCGCUAAUACCCCAUACGUCCUUAGGGAGAAAGGGUGGGAGCUUCGGACCUUACGCUCUUGCAUGAUCCUAUGAGCGGAUGUCGGAUUAGCUAGUUGGCGGGGUAAAGGCCCACCAAGGCGACGAUCCGUAGCUGGUCUGAGAGGAUGAUCAGCCACACUGGAACUGAGACACGGUCCAGACUCCUACGGGAGGCAGCAGUGGGGAAUAUUGGACAAUGGGCGCAAGCCUGAUCCAGCCAUGCCGCGUGUGUGAAGAAGGUCUUCGGAUUGUAAAGCACUUUUAUUUGGGAAGAAAAGCAGUAUGUUAAUACCUCGCUGUUUUGACGGUACCAAAAGAAUAAGCACCGGCUAACUUCGUG
rnacentral:rRNA from 1 species